rnacentral:rRNA from 1 species
UGAAAUUGAUCUCCCCGUGCAGAAGCGGGGAUAAUACCAUAAGACGAGAAGACCCUAUGGAGCUUUAGACGUCAGAGCAGCCCAUGUAAAGCACCCCUUAACAAAGGAAAAAACCAAAUGAAGCCUGCCCUAAUGUCUUUGGUUGGGGCGACCGCGGGGAAAUACAAAACCCCCAUGUGGAGUAGGAAUACACAUUCCUAAACCCAAGAGCUCCCGCUCUAAUGAACAGAAAUUCUGACCAAUAAGAUCCGGCACACGCCGAUCAACGGACCGAGUUACCCUAGGGAUAACAGCGCAAUCCCCUUAAAGAGCCCUUAUCGACAAGGGGGUUUACGACCUCGAUGUUGGAUCAGGACAUCCUAAUGGUGCAGCCGCUAUUAAGGGUUCGUUUGUUCAACG